rnacentral:rRNA from 1 species
GGGUUGUGAGGUUAAGCGACUAAGCGUACACGGUGGAUGCCCUGGCAGUCAGAGGCGAUGAAGGACGUGCUAAUCUGCGAUAAGCGUCGGUAAGGUGAUAUGAACCGUUAUAACCGGCGAUUUCCGAAUGGGGAAACCCAGUGUGAUUCGUCACACUAUCAUUAACUGAAUCCAUAGGUUAAUGAGGCGAACCGGGGGAACUGAAACAUCUAAGUACCCCGAGGAAAAGAAAUCAACCGAGAUUCCCCCAGUAGCGGCGAGCGAACGGGGAGCAGCCCAGAGCCUGAAUCAGUGUGUGUGUUAGUGGAAGCGUCUGGAAAGGCGCGCGAUACAGGGUGACAGCCCCGUACACAAAAAUGCACAUGCUGUGAGCUCGAUGAGUAGGGCGGGACACGUGGUAUCCUGUCUGAAUAUGGGGGGACCAUCCUCCAAGGCUAAAUACUCCUGACUGACCGAUAGUGAACCAGUACCGUGAGGGAAAGGCGAAAAGAACCCCGGCGAGGGGAGUGAAAAAGAACCUGAAACCGUGUACGUAC